rnacentral:lncRNA from 1 species
AAUAAAUGAAAAUCUGUAGAUUCUCUCCUCCCCUGUCCCAAAAAACAAAGCAAAAUAAUGCUUUUUGAAAUUGUCUCUAGGAUUUUAAAGUGAAAAAAUGAUGGUACUAUCCAAAGUUCUUUAUUUCAGAAUCUGACAGUGGAUUCCUUUAACAUAGGCUCAAGAUCAAAACAGCAUACCCUCUAAGCUCAGACAGACUGUUGACUCCAAGGGUUUUGAUCAAUACCAUAACAAACCUUUUUCCUUUGACAUACUCUGGGUUUUGUUGUUUGAAUUACAGAAUAAUGUUAAUUGUUCUCAAAACUGGAUUUUCUUCAAAAUUAAAAAAUUUUUUUCUUUCGGAUUUAAUGAAGUAUUGCUAGCUGAAGCCAGUUUGACAUGGUGAGAGAGAUGUCAGACUGAUGAAAGGUGUGCAGCCUGAUUUAAAACCAAACCCUGAGCCCUUUUAAAGAACAAUAAAACAUAUUUUACAUGC